AGCUUUGUGCAGUGGCAUCUUAGCCAAUGAGGUUUAUCAGAGGUGUGAUUAUUGCUAAUUGAAAAAAAAAAAGGCUGACUGCCAUCCAUAAAACAAGUCAUCUUGCCUACCUGAUUGAUGGAGCAUCCCCUCCACUGGG
rnacentral:snRNA from 1 species